rnacentral:misc_RNA from 1 species
AAGUCGUAACAAGGUUUCCGUAGGUGAACCUGCGGAAGGAUCAUUAAUCUAGGGCCUCUGGCCUCCCCCGCCCCGGCGGGAGGGCGCCAGCGGCCUGACCUAUUACCACCCUUUGCCUAUGUGUACCUCUAUCGCUUCCUCGGCAGGCUCGCCUGCCGCUAGGAACCAACUAAACCCUUUGCAUUAUACAUUAACACUUCUGAUACAAACCAAAAUUAUUACAACUUUUAACAAUGGAUCUCUUGGUUCUG